rnacentral:lncRNA from 1 species
CCUUCCCCGUCCCCUAAUAAUUCCCCUAAUUCCGCUAAUUCCCCUAAUUUACCUAAUUCCUUCUUUUUUUGGUCUUUUCCCUGUAGCUACGCCCGCAGAGACAGCCCCACCUACGACCCUUACAAACGCUCCCCUUCCGAAUCCACUUCGGAAUCCCGCUCCCGAUCCCGCUCCCCUUCCCCGGGCCACGAGGAGAAGAUCACUUUCAUCACCAGUUUCGGGGGCAGCGACGAGGAGGCAGCGGCCGCUCAAGCCGCCGCCGCCGCCCCCCCGGGCAAGCAGCGCUGCCCCCCCGGGCAACCCCCCCCGGGGCCUCGCGCCCCGCGCCCCGCGGGAGCCCCCCCCCCCCGCCCCCCCCCCCGCCCCCCCCGGCCCCCCCCCCGCCGUUACCGCCGCUCCCGGUCCCGCCGCUACUCCCGGUCCCGCUCCCGCAGCCGCCGGUAUUCGGGGGGGGGCUCCCGGGACAGUCGUCGCCACUCCCGCUCCUAUUCCCCCGACCGGGGGUACCGCUACGGCUCCCGACGCCGCUCCAGGAGCCGAUCCCGUUCCGGGGAGCGCUGCCGGAGGGGGGGGGCCCGCUCGAGUCGCCGCUGGAGCAGCAGCAGCCGCAGCCCCAGCCCCUCGCCCAGCCCCAGCGCCUCCCGCUCGGCCUCGCCGCCCCGCGACAAGCCCCCGCGCCCCCCAGCCUCGCCGGCCGUGGGGGAGAAACUGAAAAAGGCUGACGCUGCUGCUGGUAAAGAGACAGGAGCUGCCAAAGUCAGUAAGAAUUUAACCUCCCCUCCUUUAUCCGCACCAAGCCGAGCAGACUUUAAGGGCUGGAGGAGGUGCGGGGCCGGCGCCCGGCCCCCCCCGCGCCCCUCCCUGGGGGGGGGAGGGUGGUGGGGACCCCCCCGGGCUGCCCCGGGGUCCCUGUGGGGCUCGGGGCUGUGCCCGGUGGUCCCUAA